ensembl:lncRNA
AUGAAGAAAUUGAAAAUAAUGAAGAAACAACAAAUGACGAUGAAAAACCAAACGAUACAAAUAUAACUAUGACUGUUGUAAAUGAUUUAUAUACUAAGAGACCUCAAAGAAAUGCUGCAAAAAAAUGUAUUACAUUAUGGUCAGCAGAAUUAAAAAAAAAAUCAGAAAAAAAUUAUAAUAUAAAUAAUGACAAAACAAAAGAAUUGGGUAAUGAAAAAAAAGAAGAAACAUUAUUAAAACGUAGGAAAAAAACAAAAAGAGAAUUGAAAACUGGUUAUAUAGAUACUUUAGAUGAAAUAAAAGAUUUUGAAAAUAAAAAAAAUGUAAAUAAUUUGUAUAUAAAAAAUGAAAAUAACUAUAAUGAUGAGCUACAAAGUGUUGAACAGAGUGAAGGUUAUAUGGGAUCAUCACCCACUAUGGGUUCAUCUGUAAUUGGUAAUGGUUGUAACCCUAACAGUUCUAACAGUAUCAACUUUAAUAAUAAUAUUUUUGAUAUUAAUAUGACAUCUAACAAUAAUCAAAUAAAACAAAAUGACACAAAAUGGAACGAUGUAAAAUAUAACGAUGUAAAAUAUAACGAUGUAAAAUAUAACGAUGCAAAAUAUAACGAUAUAAAAUAUAACGAUAUAAAAUAUAAUGAUAUAAAAUGGAAUGACGCAAAAUAUAACGAUAUAAAACAAAGUUUGGAAGAAGUAGUAGGUAAUGAUAAUAAAAAUAUUCCUAUUUUAUUUAAAGAGUCUAUGGAUGAACGUGAAAUGUUUAAAUGCUUAGACGUGUUAAGACAUUUACCAAGUAAAAAGGGUGGGGCUCAAUAUAAAUUACAUAAAGCUAUAUUAACAGAAGAAAUGGUUAGAAGAGCAAAAAAAUUUCCAUUAGUUCAAGGAGUGUAUUUUGAUAGAUAUCAACAAAGAUGGAGUGUAAAUUGGAAUGAAGAUGGAAAAAGAGUAGCAAAAUAUUUUCCUAUAAAAUUAUUCGGAUUUGAUUAUGCUCGUAGAUUAGCUAUUUACUGUAAAAACUAUCAGAAAAUACCUGAAGAGGCAUUAGCAUUUGAACAAGCAUACAGAUUAAAUCAACAACAUAAUAAAUAUAAAAAUGAAAUAAACGAAACUAAAAAUUUAAAAAAAAAAAAAAAAGGAACUAAUAAAAACUUAAAAAAAAAAAAAAACAAUGCUAAAAAUAAUUUAACAAAAAAAAGUACUACUACUACUACUACUACUACUAAUACUACUACUACUACUACUUCUGUUGAUGGUAGUGAUGGUGAUGAUGGUGGUGAUGGUGAUGACGGUGGUGAUGAUGGUGGUGAUGAUGGUGGUGACACCGGUAGUUGUAGUGGCAGUGGUAGUGGUAAUGGUGAUAAUAUGGGUUAUGUUACUACCAGUACAACACUAUCUAUAUAUAAAAAAAGAAAACAAACAGAAGGUUCUAAUUUGUAUGUUACUAACAAUCCUAACACAAACGAUCAUAACAACAAUACUUAUGGCAAUUAUGAUAAAAAUGUUUAUAAUUAUAAUACUAGUGGUAAUACUAGUGGUAAUACUAGUGGCAAUACUAGUGGUAAUAACACGACAAAUGAAAAUAACUACGGCAUAGGUAAUAGAAAAUUACGUCAUGAUUGUAAUGGCAACAUGACUAACAAUAAUUUUUAUAAUGGUUAUAAAAGUAGUGAUGAUAAAAAAAAAAAUAUAUUUAUAACUGACAAAUUAAAUGGCACAGUGUUAAAAAAUUUGAAAAAAAACAAUCCGAAUAAUAUGUACAAUACAUAUGAAAUAAACAAUAAUACAGUAAAUGGAAAUAAUAAUGGUAAUAAUAAUGGUAAUACUGAUGGUAAUACUGAUGGUAAUACUGAUGGUAUCUAUUAUUACAACAACAUGAACAACGAAUAUAAAACUAGUGAUAAAAAAAACAGUUUUGUUGAUAUAAAUAAAUACAACUUACAACUGGAUGAUAUGGGUUAUAAUAGUAGUAGUAGUAAUAGUAAUAGUAAUAGUAAUAGUAGUAAUAUAUACAAUAGAGAAAAUAAUUCAACUCGAGGAAGAAACUACAAAGGUGAAACACAUAACUUAAGUUAUAACAAUAUACAUGAGAAUAUACAUGAGAAUAUACAUGAGAAUAUACAUGAUAAUAUACAUGAUAAUAUGAAAAAUUCAUUAUCUAUUGUGGAUAACUACAUACAUAAUACAUAUAACAAAAAAAAUGAUAGAACCAUUUUAGGUUUAAAAAAACAGGAGAUAAAACAAAUAACAUCAUAGAUAAUCACAAUUCAGUAACAUUACCAUAUAAUGUAAAACCUAUCGAAUAUAACAACUAUCUUGAUAAAAUAGAUAACAAUAUAAUAAAAAAAAAAAACAAAACA